CUAAUACGGAUCCAGCAUGAGGUUGCGUUAUUCUAUGUUUAAAACCUGGGGUUUUGUGGUCUAGACUUGGGUUACCCGAGCGGACAACUGGGAUCGAGGAUGGGCAAUGUACUGGGAGCACGAAAGUCUUCCUGGCGUUGUUGCUUGCCCAACCCUAUAUUAUUUGGUAUAAUUUCUAAAAAAAAAAAAAGCACGCCACGUGAACGUGUGCACUAUUUUCAGAAGACUUCGAUGGGUGGCGUAAGAAGUCAUUUAAAUAUAGUUCAAGCAAUAUCAAAGUGGUAAAUAAUAAUUAGCACAUUAAGUUCACAAAAAUACAAUAAUAUCAAUCAAUAAAGACAAAUAAAAAUUGCAUUAACAAGCUCGAAUUCUUGAACCCUGAACCAUAAGUUCUGGGUUCUUAUUCCUUAGCAGAGUCGCGAGAGCUGUCACACCUCCUUUUUUACACACCACCUCGAGAGGGCGGUAUAUAAGGGAGUUUUUCCAAUAAAAGUGAUAUUAUUCAAAAUGGGAUUAUUUGUUUAUCAAAGUCGCCACUUAGAAUCAUUGGUGUCCCAAGUCACCGGUUUAUUAUAAAUUCCAAAUCAGGAAGUUUUAUUUUAAAAGAGUCUGCUCCAGAAAUUCUAGAUAAGGAAUUCUGUAAACCCGAGAGAAGGUGUUAGGCACCCCCGAUUUUCGUGGUUCUAGCAUGGUCUCUUAGCAAUUAUAUUCGGCUUAAAUUUUUUAACUACUCAUUUUUAGGACCAAUGUGCAAUUAUCUUUUUACCGCUUUUAAAUCACUUAA
rnacentral:lncRNA from 1 species